rfam:Halomonas sp. &apos;Soap Lake #7&apos;, complete genome.
AACAGCAAGCCUUGAAAACACACAUGCACCGGCACAUGGUCCCGGGUGCCGCUGGUAACGUCUAACGAUACCACUGGUCGGAUCCAUGGGGUGCGUGGAGGCCUAAC